CAGCCGCCACGGUAAUACAGAGGGUGCGAGCGUUAAUCGGAUUUACUGGGCGUAAAGCGUGCGUAGGCGGCUUUUUAAGUCGGAUGUGAAAUCCCUGAGCUUAACUUAGGGAUUGCAUUCGAUACUGGGAAGCUAGAGUAUGGGAGAGGAUGGUAGAAUUCCAGGUGUAGCGGUGAAAUGCGUAGAGAUCUGGAGGAAUACCGAUGGCGAAGGCAGCCAUCUGGCCUAAUACUGACGCUGAGGUACGAAAGCAUGGGGAGCAAACAGGAUUAGAUACCCCGGUAGUCCCUGUCUCUUAUAC
rnacentral:rRNA from 1 species